rnacentral:lncRNA from 1 species
GUCUGGAGCCUAGCUUCACCAGCUGAAGUCUCUGUCACCACCCACCACUGGCCUACAGUCACGGGCACUAUGACUGCCUUCAGGGUUUCCCUUGCUGCCUUGGCCAAAAUUGUCAUUUCCACUGAUGUUUUCACCAACAAGCCAUACUUGCCUUCCUCGGGCAACAGUUACCACCAAAUUAGCCAUCAGAGCCUCUGCUGCUGGGCACACACCUGGAGCUGCCAUUCUCUUCCCCACUCCUCAGCUCAGGAUUGGAAAACAUGAAUAGGCUCUGGUAGUACCAGCCUUGUCAUCCUUGUCAUUCUGCAUGUGGGACUGGGACAGAGCAGCUCCGUCUGGGCAGAGGAACCCAUUCAGACCAGUGGUUUUCAACCCAGGCUACACAUCAGGUUUGAGACGACAAAGAAACAACUACAACUUGAAGCAAACUUAUAUUGCUGUUCAGAUGCAAUGUCAGCUAGUCACCAUAAGCAUCUCACUUCUUUACAGAGAGAAACCGGUUUGUCUACAUCUGGGUUUGCUCUCCUUUUCUUUUACUAACAGCUUCACUGUAGUAUAAUUUUAUGAAAUUUGUUAACAGCUUCACUGAGGUAUAAGCUUUAUUGAGGUGAUACACAAUGACCUACAUGAGUUUAAGGUGUAUAGUUUGAUAAGUUGAGGCAUAUGAAU